CUUGUGCCACGCAGUCUUUAGACAGCUGCUCAUACACUCCCUUCUGAGGCUGGAAAAGGGUCUAUUGUACAAACAAGGCCAUCAGUGUUGGUUUCCCCGGAGCCUCAGCGGUGGGCAUGGACGAGUGGAAGAUGAAGAGCUUCCCGCUGCACUCUGCUGCCUGGAAGGACGACAACAGAUCACACGCAAAUCUGACUGGUGAAAUGAAUGUUACAACACCACUGAGAGGGGAACCCCUGGCCCAAAACCUUCAUACUCGACUGAGCUCUGGAAGAACCAGCUCAACGCCAUCUUGAAAAAAAGCUCAGCGGUGAAAGGAGACAAACAAUUAGUUGCUUGGCAUCACUGAAGGCAAGUUCUAACUAUUGCUAAUUGAUUUUCUUUUUUUUCCAGAACUUCCUGUAAUCAUUUUAUUUGUGUGUAUUUCUGAUGCUCCUAUAGUGAGAGAUUAAUUACAGUAGAGCUACAUGAGCUCUGCCAAGACUGUCAAUAGAAUAACAAACAUCCUUCUACAAAUAUACUAGAUAGAAGCUUGUUGAUGGUGGUUUCUCUGCAGCAUGCUGAAAGAUAUUUAGCAAAACAUUUGAGCUUUACUCAAACUUGUAUUUGUAUUUCUGACCCUGUAAACUAAGAAAACCCAUCAUAAAUUCAGAGUUGUACCUUGAAUUGUUAUUUUUAAACUUCAUUACACUUUUGUGAUGCCAUUUUGCGACCGUUUUGUGGCAUCACAAAACGGUCAAAGCUAAAAUAAAAUGCCUACGAGACUAUGAAAUCAUCUGGAGCUGGACUGUGAAUUACGAAAGAGGGUUCUUACUAAAUCUGAUUUUGAAAACCUCUGAACAAAGAUGGUUGAGCUGCAUGAGGCAAAACGGACAAAGAAGAAGAAGAUGAACAGUUUAGACAAGAACCUGGCUUAUCUUUGGGCUUCACUGCAUUGUUUCAUUUAACAAGAAGACCUUCCAAGUCAAGUAUAAACAUCCCUGUAUGACUGGAACACGAUCCCUGAGGGGUUUGUUUGGUGAUGUUUGGCUUCUUCUGAGGGCUAUAUUUGUGAUUCAUGGACUCAUGAAUAAAGAACCUCUUCAUCUCACCAUUGGCGUUAGGUCAGUCUACAGGUAUUCUGUGAGUCUGCAGAUAUUCCACAAACACCCACUGAUAUUUACCACAACACAGAAGACAAUCACACUUUGCCAACACUGCAAGUGCCAAAUGCUAUUUCCAUAUAGUUCUAUUUCACUUAUCCACAUUCGUAUUCCCUUUAAAGGAAAAGCACGACUCAUUAACGGCUCUGACGUGUCCUCACUCUACAUAAUUUGGUUUGCUUUUUAAUGUAACUUUUUAAUGAAUGCCAUAUUAAUUCGGCACACAUUUGGCAGGACAGGUGGCCAACAUAAAGCAAGUCGAACUGAACUGACAGAUUUUUAUUCACAGUAUGUUUUUGGCAUCAUCUGAGCUAUAAAGUCAUGACAGCAAAAAGAACAGAUAUUGUUGCUGGCACUAAAGGAGCAUGUAAGGAGUAACCUGGAGAAGAGCAAGCUGUUCUCAAAGAUAAAUCAAAAUGUCAGCAAAAUGUGGCUGAAGCUCAAGGAGUUCUGUUUUUAUCAUUUCACUGAUAGCAAAACUAUGAAACCUUCACUUGACUAAAAGAACAAACUGUUUUUGCUGAUUU